rnacentral:misc_RNA from 1 species
UUGAAUUCAAAGUGAAGCUGUAUGCUGGCUCUUCGGAGCAUGUGCACGCUUUGCAUAUAUUCAACCACCUGUGAACUUAUUGUAGACCUGGAGCUAACAUCUCAAGGAAACUUGGACAGAAGGCUUGCUGGUCACUUCAUUGAGAUCAACUGCCUUUGCUUGUUCUAGGUCUAUGUUCUAUAUACCCUAAUAAAAGUCAAAGAAUGUCAUGAACGGCUGUAAUGCCUUAAAACUAUAAUA